GGUUCCAUAGUGUCACGGUGAGCACGUCUGCUUUACACACAGAAGGUCCUAGGUUCACAUCCCAGUGGAGCCA
rfam:Pteropus alecto contig91653, whole genome shotgun sequence.